AGAAAUUUAAGUUAACAAAAACUAAGGACCUUCAAAGCCCUAAAUAGGACUAAAUAAACCUAAUUUCUG
rnacentral:tRNA from 1 species